GACAAAUGCUGGCGGCGUGCUUAACACAUGCAAGUCGAACGGUACUCCUACGGGAGUAUAGUGGCGGACGGGUGAGUAACACGUAGCUAAUCUACCCUGAUGUGGGGAAUAACCCCUCGAAGAGGAGCUAGACCGCAUAAGUUCUCUCUUGUUAGAGAGAGAAGAAACUUUAGGUCAGUGAAAGACCAGAGGCGUUAGGAUGAGGCGUGCGGCGGAUUAGCUAGANGGUGGGGUAAAGGACCUACCAUGGCGACGAUCCGUAGCUGGUCUGAGAGGACGACCAGCCACACUGGGACUGAGACACGGCCCAGACUCCUACGGGAGGCAGCAGUGAGGAAUAUUCCACAAUGGGCGCAAGCCUGAUGGAGCGACGCCGCGUGGGGGAA
rnacentral:rRNA from 1 species